GACGAACGCUGGCGGCGUGCUUAACACAUGCAAGUCGAACGGUUAAGCGCCUUCCUUUUUGGUGGGUGUGGAUGAGUGGCGAACGGGUGAGUAACACGUGAGUAACCUGCCCCCUUCUUCUGGAUAACCGCAUGAAAGUGUGGCUAAUACGGGAUAUUCUGGGUCUGUCGCAUGAUGGGUCUGGGAAAGAUAUUGUUUCGGUGGGGGAUGGGCUCGCGGCCUAUCAGCUUGUUGGUGGGGUGAUGGCCUACCAAGGCGGUGACGGGUAGCCGGCCUGAGAGGGUGGACGGUCACACUGGGACUGAGACACGGCCCAGACUCCUACGGGAGGCAGCAGUGGGGAAUAUUGCACAAUGGGCGCAAGCCUGAUGCAGCGACGCCGCGUGAGGGAUGGAGGCCUUCGGGUUGUGAACCUCUUUCGCCAGUGAAGCAGGCCUGCCUCGUUUGUGGGUGGGUUGACGGUAGCUGGAGAAGAAGCGCCGGCUAACUACGUG
rnacentral:rRNA from 1 species